GGUAAUAGCCGCAAGGCCACGGAAGAGUGCGCAGGCCGGACCUGCGAGCUGAACAUCGCACCCCGGACUGAGCUGAAACCUACUCCACGCGUUUAAGGCAAGGAUUUCCAAUCUGGCAUAGGAGACAAACAAUACUAUGAAUGUGUUGGGGUCCGGCCUCUGUGCUGUGGGAGCCAGGAACUGUAUUGUCGAGUUCAGGGUGCCAGCAUAUGCUACACUAACCACUAGAGGGCAGUAGCACCCUAACGACAGCCGUGCCGACCCAGCGGUCUCUCCCUCAUCAGCCAACCAGCCUUCUUUGGAGACACCGGACCUAGAAGGGAAUCAAUCUAUGCUCAGGGACGCUGGUGGCAGUAACAGGGAGCCAGGAGCCCAAAUGGCUGACAGAAUGGAUGCAAUGGAUGCAACAUCCACGGUUUCUCUGUAUAGCCCUGGCUGUCCUGGAACUCACUCUGUAGACCAGGCUGGCCUUGAACUCAGAAAUCCGCCUGCCUCGGCCUCCCAAGUGCUGGGAUUAUAGGUGUGCGCCACCACCGCCCAUGUGGAUCCCGGGCAUCAGGCUUGGUGGCAACUACUGGCUCAGCGCAGGGACACCUACGAAGAUUAUGUGUGACCACACUGAGUCACUUGGACCAGUGGGAAACCUGCUGCCUUACACAGUAAGGGAAAGGCUCAUCAACCCGCUGAGAGAUUUCUCAGAGGUAGAAGAUGACAAACAUUUAAAAAGUCAUCUCCCUGCUCGACAGUCUAUAGCCUCGGAAGAGGGAAUCUCCUUAAAGUGCUCUGGAAAGUAUAUGCCUGCGUCCUACUAGCUAGCAUUCAGACAUACUCCUGCCUCUGCUGCUGCCUCUGCUUCACCAGAUGUCACCCUUAAACUUCCUCAGGGCUUGUGGGAAAGCCCUCACGUGACCAAAGCACUCCCACCGGUCCCUACUGGCCUUGGCUAAUCUGAAUAUGUUGAUGUGGCUCAGGCCUCUCCUGUAUUCACUUUCCUAAGCAAGUGUGGGGUCUGUAAGAAAGACCUUGGUCUUUCAACUCUACCCCUGCUCCUCCCCCCUCCCCCUCCCAUCAGCCUGGUGACAAUGUGGAAUAUGGAGCCACCAGUGAGAAGCUGUGCAACCUUGACAAGUCCUUUACUUUAUCUGGGCAGAUGGGAUCCUUUGGUACCCACUCUCCUCACUGGGCUUUGGAAACAGGGAGUCUAUGUCUAAUGCAGGACGAUGGGCCUGGCUUCCCAAGCAGGUGACUGCUUCAGUUUCCAGCGCCUGCCUUGGAUGGGAGGGGUCAGAUGUGCUCUAAAUGCUGAGUUUGCCCCGGACUCUUUGGCAUCACACUCCAAGGCAGACCGAAGGUUCUUUAUAAUCUCAGAUAUUCACACGUUUGCUUUGAGACACUGUUUGAUGAAGAGGUACUUUGGGAUACAUUUGGUAGAUGUUAGACAUCUUGCCCUUUCCCCACUUCUGGUCACAUUUGGGACAAAGAGUGUGUGUACCUUCUUUUUUUUUUGUUUGUUUGGGUUUUUUUUUUUUGUUUGUUUGUUUUUUUGAGAUAGGUUUCUCUGUGUAGUCCUGGCUGUCCUGGAACUGUAGACCAGGCUGGCCUUGAACUCAGAAAUUCAAGUGCUGGGAUUAAAGGCGUGUGCCACCACCGCCCGGCCUGUGUACCUUCUA